rnacentral:rRNA from 1 species
CUCCAGACUCCUACGGGAGGCAGCAGUGGGGAAUAUUGCACAAUGGGGGAAACCCUGAUGCAGCGACGCCGCGUGAAGGAAGAAGUAUUUCGGUAUGUAAACUUCUAUCAGCAGGGAAGAAAAUGACGGUACCUGACUAAGAAGCCCCGGCUAACUACGUGCCAGCAGCCGCGGUAAUACGUAGGGGGCAAGCGUUAUCCGGAUUUACUGGGUGUAAAGGGAGCGUAGACGGCAGUGCAAGUCCGGAGUGAAAGCCCGGGGCUCAACCCUGGGACUGCUCUGGAAACUGUAAAGCUGGAGUGCGGGAGGGGCAGGCGGAAUUCCUGGUGUAGCGGUGAAAUGCGUAGAUAUCAGGAGGAACACCGGCGGCGAAGGCGGCCUGCUGGACCGUAACUGACGUUGAGGCUCGAAAGCGUGGGGAGCAAACAGGAUUAGAUACCCUCGUAA